rnacentral:lncRNA from 1 species
CUCUUCAUAAUAAUAAUAAUAAUAAUAAUAAUAAUAAUAAUAAUAAAUUGUAUUUAUAAGCGCACUUUUCAUUUGAGUAAACAAAACUCAAAGUGCUACAGAGUAAAAAAAUGAUGAAGCAGAAUAUACAUUUAAAAACAUUCUGUAAACAGACAAGGCAACAGAUGGAGGGCUAAAGUCUCGCAGAAGGUUCUGUGAAAAAGAUGGUUUUUAGGCCUGUUUUAAAAGCAUCCACAGUCUGUGGUGUCCUCAGAUGUUCAGAGAGAGCGUUCCACAGUCUGGGAGCAGCGGAGCAGGAGGCUCGAUCUCCCAGGGUUUUGAGCUUGGUCCUGGGGGGAUGGAGGAGGUCAGCCUCUUCACCCUCUACACUCCAGACUUCGCCCACAACACAGCAAAGUGUGACCGAGAGAAGUUCUCUGACUCUGCUUUUGUCUCAUCUCUGAUGUGAGGACAGGAGAAUAGAGAGCAGACACAGGACUUUAUCCUCUGGUGCCAGAGGAACCACCUCCUAUUCAACGCAGGGAAGACCAGGGAGCUGGUGGUGGACUUCAGGAGGCGCCAUCAUUCCCCCCCAACACCAGUGAACGUCCUGAGAACGGACAUUGAGAUUGUAAAAUCCUACAAGUACCUGGGCGUUCACCUGAACAAUAAACUGGUCAGAUAACAGCUGCUCUGUUUAAGAAGGAACAGAGCAGCUGAGGAGACUGACCCUCCAGGACACUUUGUCCGCACUGUGCAGCUCCUUCAGUGACAGGCUGCUUCACCUGCGGUGUCUCACGGAGAGAUACACUGUUCCACCAACAACACACUGUCCCACCAACUGUUCCACCAACAACACACUGUUCCACCAACAACACACUGUUCCACCAACAACACACUGUUCCACCACCAACACACUGUUCCACCAACAACACACUGUCCCAAUAACAACACACUGUUACACCAACAACACACUGUUCCACCAACAACACACUGUCCCACCAACAACACACUGUCCCACCAACAACACACUGUUCCACCAACAACACACUGUCCCACCAACAACACACUGUUCCACCAACAACACACUGUCCCACCAACAACACACUGUCCCACCAACAACACACUGUUCCAUCAACAACACACUGUUCCACCAACAGCACACUGUCCCAAUAACAACACACUGUUCCACCAACAACACUGUCCCACCAACAACACACUGUUCCACCAAAAACACACUGUUCCACCAACAACACACUGUCCCACCAACAACACACUGUUACACCAACAACACACUGUUCCACCAACAGCACACUGUCCCACCAACAACACACUGUUCCACCAACA